CAUUGAACUGAACCAUCUAACCAUCGACAGCUUUAAAAAUCUUUUUUUGCGAAGAAAUAAAACUUAACGUCGACAUAUAAAAAACUAAUUUCGCGAAGAUAAUAAAAUAUUCGCCAUAGUCAGUCCUUUUGGCAAAUUUGAAAAAUUGGAUGGGAUGUGCAACAAGAAUCUGUUUGAACAGAAGUUGUAGCCGUUUCUGGAAUUGGCGUUACGUUUAAACUCAAUGGAGUUUACAGUUGGAAACUACUAGAGUCCCGUCAGAUCUUCAACCACUUAGCGGCUGUUUUGGAUUACUUGACAAAUUUAUGCGGGUGUGUUGCAGCCGUUUCCAGAAUUUGGCACGAAAUCUCUCCAAUUGAAAAUUUGCAGUUGGCCCCUUCUAGAGUCUCUUCAGAUCUAUAACCACUUAGCUGCUGUUUUGGAUUACUUCAAGAAUUCAUACGGGUUUGUUACGGCCGUUUCCAGAAUUUGUCACGACAUCUGUACGGAU
rnacentral:lncRNA from 1 species